UUUAAAUCGGAUUUUAGUUUUUCCAUCUCAGCUAAGACCAGUUGAUACUUCUCCUCUGAUUUGGCCUGGGCAUCCUGCUGAUCAGAUAAGCUCUUCUUCAAGUCGCCAAGCGCUGAUUCAGUCUGGAUAAGAGAUUCCUGUUGAAACAUAUGGUUAAGGGGCAAGUCUCAGAACUAUUGCAAGCAACAUCCCUGACACUUGGGGGCUAAUGUAUAAUUUUUUUAGACAAAAUUAUACUGCAUCAAGACCC
rnacentral:lncRNA from 1 species